CCUACGGAGUGCUGCAGUGGGGAAUAUUGGACAAUGGGCGAAAGCCUGAUCCAGCCAUGCCGCGUGUGUGAAGAAGGCCUUCGGGUUGUAAAGCACUUUCAGUGGGGAAGAAAGCCUUGGGGCUAAUACCCUCGAGGAAGGACAUCACCCACAGAAGAAGCACCGGCUAACUCCGUGCCAGCAGCCGCGGUAAUACGGAGGGUGCGAGCGUUAAUCGGAAUUACUGGGCGUAAAGCGCGCGUAGGCGGUCUGAUAAGCCGGUUGUGAAAGCCCCGGGCUCAACCUGGGAACGGCAUCCGGAACUGUCAGGCUAGAGUGCAGGAGAGGAAGGUAGAAUUCCCGGUGUAGCGGUGAAAUGCGUAGAGAUCGGGAGGAAUACCAGUGGCGAAGGCGGCCUUCUGGACUGACACUGACGCUGAGGUGCGAAAGCGUGGGUAGCAAACAGGAUUAGAUACCCCGGUAGUC
rnacentral:rRNA from 1 species